GUCCGUCCUGGGGGGGGGCUUGGCGCCGCCUUGCGGGCGGGGGGAAAGAGGGCGCGGGCGCCGUUCCGGCGGCGGGGUGGGUG